GCGCCUGUGGUGUAGCGGUCAACAUCUCAGACUGUCGCUCUGAAGAGGCGGGUUCGAUUCCCGUCAGGCGCG
rnacentral:tRNA from 1 species